ensembl:piRNA 21ur-4230 ncRNA
UUGAUGCCUGCUAUUAGAAUU